UACGAAGGGGGCUAGCGUUGUUCGGAAUUACUGGGCGUAAAGCGUGCGCAGGCGGCUUCUCAAGUCAGGGGUGAAAGCCCAGAGCUCAACUCUGGAAUUGCCUUUGAGACUGAGUGGCUUGAGUACGAGAGAGGUGAGUGGAAUUCCCAGUGUAGAGGUGAAAAUUCGUAGAUAUUGGGAAGAACACCGGUGGCGAAGGCGCCUUGCUGGCCGAUUUCUGACGCUGAGGCGCGAAAGCGUGGGGAGCAAACAGG
rnacentral:rRNA from 1 species